rnacentral:rRNA from 1 species
UACGUAGGGGGCAAGCGUUGUUCGGAAUUACUGGGCGUAAAGGGCGCGUAGGCGGCACGGCAAGUCAGGAGUGAAAGCCCUGGGCUCAACCCGGGAACUGCUUUGAAACUGCCGAGCUAGAGUGCGGAAGGGGCAACUGGAAUUCCCAGUGUAGAGGUGAAAUUCGUAGAUAUUGGGAAGAACACCAGUGGCGAAGGCGGCAUCCUGGACCGGUAUUGACGCUGAGGCGCGAAAGCCAGGGGAGCAAACGGG